GGGAAACUCACCAGGUCCAGACAUAGAGAGGAUUGACAGACUGAUAGCUCUUUCUUGAUUCUAUGGGUGGUGGUGCAUGGCCGUUCUUAGUUGGUGGAGUGAUUUGUCAGGUUAAUUCCGUUAACGAACGAGACCUUAUCCUGCUAAAUAGCGCAGUGUAUCUUCGGAUAUGCAGUUCGCUUCUUAGAGGGACUUUGUGUUUUUCAGCGCAAGGAAGUUUGAGGCAAUAA
rnacentral:rRNA from 1 species